UAACGAAUCUUCCGCAAUGGGCGAAAGCCUGACGGAGCAAUGCCGCGUGUGGGAUGAAGCGCCUUCGGCGUGUAAACCACUGUCAGGGAAUGGAACCAAUGAUUAUUCCCAAAGGAAGUGGCGACUAACUCUGUGCCAGCAGUCGCGGUAAUACAGAGGCCACAAGCGUUAGUCGGAAUCACUGGGCUUAAAGGGUGCGUAGGCGGGCCCGCAAGCGUCUUGUGAAAUCCCAUGGCUCAACCAUGGAAUUGCAGGGCGAACUGCGGGUCUUGAGGCAGGUAGGGGCCGGAAGAACAGUAGGUGGAGCGGUGAAAUGCGUAGAUAUCUACUGGAAUGCCGAUGGGGAAGCCGUCGGCUGGGCCUGUCCUGACGCUGAGGCACGAAAGCGUGGGGAGCAAACAGGAUUAGAUACCCACGUAGUCCCUGAGCGGGCUGGCAAGGCGCAU
rnacentral:rRNA from 1 species